rnacentral:rRNA from 1 species
GAUGAACGCUGGCGGCGUGCCUAAUACAUGCAAGUAGAACGCUGAAGGAAGGAGCUUGCUCUUUCCGGAUGAGUUGCGAACGGGUGAGUAACGCGUAGGUAACCUGCCUGGUAGCGGGGGAUAACUAUUGGAAACGAUAGCUAAUACCGCAUAACAGUAGAUGUUGCAUGAUAUCUACUUAAAAGGUGCAAUUGCACCACUACCAGAUGGACCUGCGUUGUAUUAGCUAGUUGGUGAGGUAACGGCUCACCAAGGCGACGAUACAUAGCCGACCUGAGAGGGUGAUCGGCCACACUGGGACUGAGACACGGCCCAGACUCCUACGGGAGGCAGCAGUAGGGAAUCUGCGGCAAUGGGCGGAAGUCUGACCGAGCAACGCCGCGUGAGUGAAGAAGGUUUUCGGAUCGUAAGGCUCUGUUGUAAGAGAAGAACGAGUGUGAGAGUGGAAAGUUCACACUGUGACGGUAUCUUACCAGAAAGAGACGGCUAACUACGUG